UACGAAGGGGGCUAGCGUUGCUCGGAAUUACUGGGCGUAAAGCGCACGUAGGCGGCUUUCUAAGUCGGGGGUGAAAUCCUGGAGCUCAACUCCAGAACUGCCUUCGAUACUGGAGCUUGAGUCGGAGAGGUGAGUGGAACUGCGAGUGUAGAGGUGAAAUUCGUAGAUAUUCGCAAGAACACCAGUGGCGAAGGCGGCUCACUGGCCCGGUACUGACGCUGAGGUGGCGAAAAGCGUGGGGAGCAAACAGG
rnacentral:rRNA from 1 species